UGGGGAAUCUUGGACAAUGGGGGCAACCCUGAUCCAGCCAUGCCGCGUGAGUGAUGAAGGCCUUAGGGUCGUAAAGCUCUUUCGCCUGUGAAGAUAAUGACGGUAGCAGGUAAAGAAACCCCGGCUAACUCCGUGCCAGCAGCCGCGGUAAUACGGAGGGGGUUAGCGUUAUUCGGAAUUAUUGGGCGUAAAGGGCGCGUAGGCGGCCCGAUAAGUCCAAGGUGAAAGCCCUCGGCUCAACCGAGGAACUGCCUUGGAUACUGUCGGGCUCGAGGCUGGAAGAGGGUGAUGGAAUUCCCGGUGUAGCGGUGAAAUGCGUAGAUAUCAGGAGGAACACCAGUGGCGAAGGCGCUGCUCUGGGGCUGUAACUGACGCUGAGGAGCGAAAGCAUGGGUAGCAAAACAGGGAUUAGAUACCCUGGUAGUCCAUGCCGUAAACGUUGGGCACUAGGUGUGGUCUCAACCAACGAGAUCCGCGCCGUCGCUAACGCAUUAAGUGCCCCGCCUGGGGAGUACGGUCGCAAGACUAAAACUCAAAGGAAUU
rnacentral:rRNA from 1 species